rnacentral:rRNA from 1 species
ACGGUCAUACCAUGCUCAAUAUACCGGUUCUCGUUCAAUCACCGAAGUCAAGCCUCAUCGGUCGAGGUCAGUACUUGGGAGGGUGACCACCUAGGAACACCGCGCCGUUGGC